CCUACGGGAGGCAGCAGUGGGGAAUAUUGGACAAUGGGCGAAAGCCUGAUCCAGCAAUGCCGCGUGAGUGAUGAAGGCCUUAGGGUCGUAAAGCUCUUUUACCAGGGAUGAUAAUGACAGUACCUGGAGAAUAAGCUCCGGCUAACUCCGUGCCAGCAGCCGCGGUAAUACGGAGGGAGCUAGCGUUGUUCGGAAUUACUGGGCGUAAAGAGUACGUAGGCGGUUAUUCAAGUCAGAGGUGAAAGCCCGGGGCUCAACCCCGGAACUGCCUUUGAAACUAGAUAACUAGAGUCUUGGAGAGGUUAGUGGAAUUCCGAGUGUAGAGGUGAAAUUCGUAGAUAUUCGGAAGAACACCAGUGGCGAAGGCGACUAACUGGACAAGUACUGACGCUGAGGUACGAAAGCGUGGGGAGCAAACAGGAUUAGAUACCCUGGUAGUCCACGCCGUAAACGAUGAUAACUAGUUGUUCGGUCACUUGGUGACUGAGUGACGCAGCUAACGCAUUAAGUUAUCCGCCUGGGGAGUACGGUCGCAAGAUUAAAACUCAAAGGAAUUGACGG
rnacentral:rRNA from 1 species